AUUGAACGCUGGCGGCAGGCUUAACACAUGCAAGUCGAGCGGGGGAGGUUGCUUCGGUAACUGACCUAGCGGCGGACGGGUGAGUAAUGCUUAGGAAUCUGCCUAUUAGUGGGGGACAACAUUCCGAAAGGGAUGCUAAUACCGCAUACGCCCUACGGGGGAAAGCAGGGGAUCUUCGGACCUUGCGCUAAUAGAUGAGCCUAAGUCGGAUUAGCUAGUUGGUGGGGUAAAGGACUACCAAGGCGACGAUCUGUAGCGGGUCUGAGAGGAUGGUCCGCAACACUGGGACUGAGACACGGCCCAGACUGCUACGGGAGGUAGCAGUGGGGAAUAUUGGACAAUGGGCGGAAGCCUGAUCCAGCCAUGCCGCGUGUGUGAAGAAGGCCUUUUGGUUGUAAAGCACUUUAAGCGAGGAGGAGGCUCUUAAGGUUAAUACCCUUGAUGAGUGGACGUUACUCGCAGAAUAAGCACCGGCUAACUCUGUGCCAGCCGCCGCCGUAACAC
rnacentral:rRNA from 1 species